CAAUAGCGUAUUGUAAAGUUGUUGCAGUUAAAAAGCUCGUAGUUGGAUUUCGGGCUCGACGGCGACGGUCAGCCGCAAGGUAUGUCACUGUCGACGUUGGCCUUCUUCGCGCAGACUUCGCGUGCUCUUAACCGAGUGUCCGGCGGCGCCGUCAGGUUUACUUUGAAAAAAUUAGAGUGCUCAAAGCAGGCUUUACACGCUUGAAUAUUCGUGCAUGGAAUAAUGGAAUAGGACGUCGUUUCUAUUUUGUUGGUUUUCGGAAAUCGACGUAAUGAUUAAUAGGGACAGUCGGGGGCAUUAGUAUUCAGACGACAGAGGUGAAAUUCUUGGACCGUCUGAAGACUAACUACUGCGAAAGCAUUUGCCAAGAAUGUUUUCAUUAAUCAAGAACGAAAGUUAGAGGUU
rnacentral:rRNA from 1 species